rnacentral:rRNA from 1 species
UACGUAGGGUGCGAGCGUUGUCCGGAAUUACUGGGCGUAAAGAGCUCGUAGGUGGUUUGUCGCGUUGUUCGUGAAAACUCACAGCUCAACUGUGGGCGUGCGGGCGAUACGGGCAGACUGGAGUACUGCAGGGGAGACUGGAAUUCCUGGUGUAGCGGUGGAAUGCGUAGAUAUCAGGAGGAACACCGGUGGCGAAGGCGGGUCUCUGGGCAGUAACUGACGCUGAGGAGCGAAAGCGUGGGGAGCGAACAGG